CACAACAAGCGAAUGACCGGAAGUGGUUUUAUCGUGAUCAGAUUAACUGCAAACUGUUCCAGCAAAUGUGUUUAUUUUAUUAAAAUAUCACUUUAAAGUGAUUGUCUGUGGGUAUCGAUCAUCACUGGACACAUCAUUGCCUGCUUUGCCGACUGACUGACAGUCUGUUGAUUCACUUGCAGGAUUCAGUCCACAAUCAGUGGUGACGCCGGUGUCAGGAUGGUGUGUGAGCUGCUGCUGUCUUCUGUCUGGUUCCUCUUCGUGAUCUUCUGGCUGGAGACCAUCAGUGUGUGGCUGUUCCUGUGUCUGUACUAUCAGGACAGGGUCUUCUAUCACUGGGGCUCAGGGGAGUUUGCAGAUGAUCCGGAUCAGUUCCUCUAUGUGUUGAGCAGGAUCGAUCUGUCGGCGCAUAUGCAGACGUGAGGAAGUGAUGUCGCGGCGUGGGAGUGCCGUGCUCACAGGACGGGAAGGGUCAGAGGUCAUCGGUGAUGUCACGUCUCAGAGGAUCCUGAUGGGGAGAGAGAGAGAGAGAGAGAGGUUCAGCAAUAACAGAAUAAUACCCACUGAAAGCUCAGAGAUCUGUGUGUGUGUGUGAUCUGGGAUCUUCUAAACUAGAGGGAGUUUCACUUUAUAGAGCAUUAACGUCUCAAGAUGAUUCCAAUCCUCCAAUUAUACACUUUCUAUUUUUGUACCAGUUUGUCCUUUUGAUUGUGUUGCCUGAUAAUAAAAAAUAUGGGAAUAUGCUUUACACACUCCGUUUUAGUUUUAGUUUUUCACAGAAUUUAUUACACUUGUUUGUUGUUAAAUUAUGUGUGUUCAUGUGUAAUGAAUUAAAAACAAACAUCUCAUCAUGUGCAAGAACUGAGGAAUGCAUUUAAUUACACAUUGAUUAUGUUUGUCAAGUCAUUUAAUAAAUUAUUUCUUUUCCUAUUA